GGGCUGUGGCUCAGUGGUAGAGCCAUCUGCCUUGGACACAGGUCUCUGGUUCAAUCCCCAAUGGCAUCU